UACGUAGGUGGCAAGCGUUGUCCGGAUUUACUGGGCGUAAAGCGCGCGCAGGCGGACUGAUCAGUCUGGGGUGAAAUCUCCCGGCUCAACUGGGAGCGGUCCCUGGAUACUGUCAGUCUUGAGAGACCUAGAGGAGAGCGGAAUUCCCGGUGUAGUGGUGGAAUGCGUAGAUAUCUGGAGGAACACCGGUGGCGAAGGCGGCAUCCUGGACCAAUUCUGACGCUGAGGAGCGAAAGCCAGGGGAGCAAACGGG
rnacentral:rRNA from 1 species